UCACUUACCUGGACGGGGUCAAUGAGUGAUCAAGAAAACUUAUGGCCUAGGUUGUUGACCUCCAUUGCACUUCAAGGAGGGGCAACUGCCUAAGAUCUCCCCAAGUUGGGAGAGUCUACGUCAUAAUUUGUGAUAGUGGGGGCCAGCGUUCGCGCGGCCUCUG